CGUUGUGUGUUCGCCUCUUGACAUUCUCCUCGGUGUCCGAGGACCUGGGGCUGGUGCAUUUUCGGUUGUUGCUGAUCUGUCUCAGGACUCUGACACUGUCCAACUUGACCCUCUUGGCAGCAGGAUAGUCCUUCCGAGUGGAGGGAGGCGCUGCGUAGUUGUGCUGAUGUGUGGAGACGUGGCACCUCUUGAGGACCAGUGGGCUGUGAGGAGGU
rnacentral:lncRNA from 1 species